rnacentral:rRNA from 1 species
UACGAAGGGGGCGAGCGUUGUUCGGAUUUACUGGGCGUAAAGGGCGCGCAGGCGGCGUAUCAAGUCAGGCGUGAAAGCCCCGGGCUUAACCUGGGAGGUGCGUCUGGGACUGGUGUGCUAGAGUUCGGGAGAGGGUAGUGGAAUUCCCGGUGUAGUGGUGAAAUGCGUAGAUAUCGGGAGGAACACCAGUGGCGAAGGCGACUACCUGGCCUGUUUCUUGACGCUGAGGCGCGAAAGCUAGGGGAGCAAACGGG